AGAAAUUCAUAGGCAGUAUGGUUAUUCCUAGACCAGACGUAAUAAUAAUAAAACCGUCUUUUUGGGAAAGAAUUGUGCUUGCCUCAACCCACCCAUUAUCUUUUUACUUGGGUGACCUCAGAUCAGGUAGGGAUACCCGCUGAACUUAAGCAUAUCAAUAAGCGGAGGAAAAGAAACCAACAGGGAUUGCCUUAGUAACGGCGAGUGAAGCGGCAAAAGCUCAGAUUUGAAAUCUGGCGUCAUUUUGGCGUCCGAGUUGUAGUCUGUAGAGGAGCAUUCGAGUGUAGCGCUGGCUUAAGUUCCUUGGAACAGGGCGUCAUAGAGGGUGAGAACCCCGUUAACGGCCUUUGUCUUAUGCUCAUGUGAAUCUCCUUCAACGAGUCGAGUUGUUUGGGAAUGCAGCUCUAAAUGGGUGGUAAAUUCCAUCUAAAGCUAAAUACUGGCAAGAGACCGAUAGCGCACAAGUAGAGUGAUCGAAAGAUGAAAAGAACUCUGAACAGAGAGUUAAAUAGUACGUGAAAUUGUUGAAAGGGAAGCACUUGCGACCAGACACACUUGCAGUUGAUCAACCUCCAUUUUUGGUGGUGCACUCGGUUGUAGGUGGGUCAGCAUCAGUUACAGCGGUGGGAAAAAGACCGAGGGAAUGUGGC
rnacentral:rRNA from 1 species